rnacentral:misc_RNA from 1 species
CCUUCGGGACGUUGCGAGCCGCACGAAACUAAAGCCUUUCGGCCAGAGUUCAUUGCAGCCGCAAUUGUCAUCCGUGUCGAGGGACAAUUUCGAGCGUUCGCUAGCCAAAGACCAACACGCCCGCUUAGUAUUCCGCAUCCGAGAGGACGAGCAAGCACCCGUGUACCAAGACAACCACGAAAAAAUAUCGAGGCAUGUACGGGACACGAGGAUUGAUUCGAGGUCCCCCUU